rnacentral:rRNA from 1 species
ACCUAAACAAAUUUAAAAAGUUAAGCUUUUAAAUAACUAUUAAAGAUAUUAUCCCCUUGUAGUGUAGUUUAAUAGCUAUCUACAUAUUAACUUAAUAUAAAGUAUAAUAGUUUAUAUUUUAUAAUAUGACGUUAACAAUUUUGUUUAAUAUUUGAAAAUGUUAGUAUUAGUAAUAUUAGUAUAUGUGCUAAAGGAACUCGGCAAAAAACCACUCAACUGUUUAUCAAAAACAUAGCUAUAUGAAUUAAUAUAUAGUUAUUUCUGCUCAAUGAUUUAAAUAGCCGCAGUACUCUGACUGUGCAAAGGUAGCAUAAUCAGUUGGCUUUUAAUUAGAGUCUGGUAUGAACGAAAAUAUGGGUAGUAACUGUCUUAGCACAUUUUUUCGAACUUAUUAAACAUGUGCAAAUGCUUGUAAUUUAACAAUAGACGAGAAGACCCUAGAAACUUGGACAAGUUUUUGUUGGGGCGACAGAAUUACACUUAACUAAUCUUAUAAUACACGACGCGAUGUUGAAAGAAUAAGUUACUCUAGGGAUAACAGCAUAAUUUCAUUAGUUUGUGACCUCGAUGUUGGACUAGGUACUAUACCCUUAAGGCAAGGAUAUAUUAUGCUCUGUUCGAGCAAAAUUACCUACAUGAUCUGAGUUCAGACCG